rfam:Triticum aestivum genome assembly, contig: Triticum_aestivum_CS42_TGACv1_scaffold_379059_5AL
UUGGUACUCCCUCCAUUCCGAAUUACUUGUUGCAGGUAUGGAUGUAUCUAGAUGUAUUUUAGUUCUAGACUAGAUAAUCCAUUUCUGCAACAAGUAAUUUGGAACGGAGAGAGUAGUAA